rnacentral:rRNA from 1 species
UACGUAGGGUGCGAGCGUUGUCCGGAAUUAUUGGGCGUAAAGAGCUCGUAGGCGGUCUGUCGCGUCGGUCGUGAAAACUUGGGGCUUAACCCUGAGCUUGCGGUCGAUACGGGCAUGACUGGAGUUCGGCAGGGGAGACUGGAAUUCCUGGUGUAGCGGUGAAAUGCGCAGAUAUCUGGAGGAACACCGGUGGCGAAGGCGACAUCCUGGACCGGUAUUGACGCUGAGGCGCGAAAGCCAGGGGAGCAAACGGG